GCUGCCACCCACCUCCUCCUGAUCAGAGGACCAUCCCUAUCCUGGGCAGUCCUAGCAAUCUGCACGCUGGGAGCAGCCCCCUAGGGGAUAUCCUGGUCCUGGGGGACCCAUCUGGCUUCAUUGUGUGGAGGGGCUGAGCCAGCAAAUACUUGCCCAGUAGUGUUCGUGUGCAAGGCAUUGUAAGAACCUCUACAGAUCCAGCCAUGGAUAAGGCAGCAUCCCUCUCCAGCUGGAGCGCACUUGUUGGCAGGAGAGAAAGACCUAAUAACCAAUGCAUGAUUAGUUCUUUAAUAAACAGCUGUGACAAGGUUGAUAAUAUUUGGUAAUCACUGUUCUUUAUAUAGCAUUGACCAUGCACCACC